CAAAACAUAGCUUAACUAAAAGCAUUCAGCUUACACCUGAAAGACGUCCAUUAAAAUAGGACUAUUUUGA
rnacentral:tRNA from 2 species